CAAAAAAAGAAAGGAACAAAAAACCCUGCAACAUUUUCACUCUUCUGCUUAAUUUCCCAUGGUGUAAAAGCACUGCAGAUACGUGAGUGGGGAAACUGCAGCAGCACAGAUGAAAUAGCCGGUUAUUAUGCAGCUGUCCUCGCUGGACAUACGAGAGAAGGAAUAACGUGACCUCAGUCAAGAGUUUGUUUAAUGAAGCKCAGAGGAUCAACCCACUUUUAUCCAACGUAUCAUCUCCUCCUUUGCUUUCAUGAUUGCCAUCCUCCCAGUUAAAAUGCUCGGUGUGAUCACCUUCGGAGCCUCUCUCUUUAUCUGCUGAAGUGGUCUCUGAUCAAAGUCCUGACUCCCUUGCAGCAUAUAGAACAUCGCAAGAGCCAGUCUCAGUUGCCCUCCUGCAUUGGGCAGGAGGAAGAAGAUCCGAGUGUCAAGAUUUUGCAGCUGAGAAAAGCAAGAUUUGGGGCAGCUGCACAAGGCUCCGGUAUGCUUUCCAUACAGCGGCAUAACCUUUCUCCUGAUGGCAGGAUUUAAACAAAAGCUUUGAUUAUCUGCUUUAUAAAAGCUGGAAGCAUCCUCGCCAAAAGAGAACUGCUGUCAGAAAUUAAAACACUUUUUCCAGCCCUUCCCCUCAUACCUCAAAGGAAUCCCCGCCGCGGGGGCUGCGCUGAUUGACAAGAGGUGUCAAACCAAGUUGGGGUGACACAGGGCUGCUGCGCUGGAGGGACACGUCCACCCCAGGCGAGUGAGGCAUUGCCGCAGCCCCUCGUGGGAGGCAGGCAGGUGCGGGGAGGGGAGGAAGAGGAGGGAGUUAAUGCGGAGCAGCAGCAGGGGUUUUACAGGCUGAAGCCUCCUCUCCACAUGGGUGGGGAUGYCUGCAUGUGAGCCAUCAAUCCGGCGGCAACUCACGAGUGCAGACUGCAGCAUUUUGGACAACUGAUAAGCAAAGUUCUUUAUGAAAAGCCUUAUCCACAGCUCAAAGAAGCUAGCGGGUGUUUUUCAACAGAUUUCUGUAGAGGCUGGCUCAAAUCCUGAGCCUAUUAA
rnacentral:lncRNA from 1 species